rnacentral:rRNA from 1 species
GACGAACGCUGGCGGCGUGCCUAAUACAUGCAAGUUGAGCGCUGAAGGUUGGUACUUGUACCAACUGGAUGAGCAGCGAACGGGUGAGUAACGCGUGGGGAAUCUGCCUUUGAGCGGGGGACAACAUUUGGAAACGAAUGCUAAUACCGCAUAAAAACUUUAAACACAAGUUUUAAGUUUGAAAGAUGCAAUUGCAUCACUCAAAGAUGAUCCCGCGUUGUAUUAGCUAGUUGGUGAGGUAAAGGCUCGCCAAGGCGAUGAUACAUAGCCGACCUGAGAGGGUGAUCGGCCACAUUGGGACUGAGACACGGCCCAAACUCCUACGGGAGGCAGCAGUAGGGAAUCUUCGGCAAUGGACGAAAGUCUGACCGAGCAACGCCGCGUGAGUGAAGAAGGGUUUCGGAUCGUAAAACUCUGUUGGUAGAGAAGAACGUUGGUGGGAGUGGAAAGCUCAUCAAGUGACGGUAACUACCCAGAAAGGGACGGCUAACUACGUG